rnacentral:rRNA from 1 species
UACGAAGGUCCCGAGCGUUGUUCGGAAUCACUGGGCGUAGAGGGAGCGUAGGCGGCGUGGUAAGUCAGAUGUGAAAUCCCGGGGCUCAACCCCGGAACUGCAUCCGAUACUGCCGUGCUUAGAGGAUUGGAGAGGUAGCUGGAAUUCUUGGUGUAGCAGUGAAAUGCGUGGAUAUCAAGAGGAACACUCGUGGCGAAAGCGAGCUACUGGACAACUCCUGACGCUGAGGCUCGAAGGCCAGGGUAGCGAAAGGG